GACGGAGGAUGCAAGUGUUAUCCGGAAUCACUGGGCGUAAAGCGUCUGUAGGUGGUUUAAUAAGUCAACUGUUAAAUCUUGAGGCUCAACCUCAAAAUCGCAGUCGAAACUAUUAGGCUAGAGUAUAGUAGGGGUAAAGGGAAUUUCCAGUGGAGCGGUGAAAUGCGUAGAGAUUGGAAAGAACACCGAUGGCGAAGGCACUUUACUGGGCUAUUACUAACACUCAGAGACGAAAGCUAGGGUAGCAAUAGGGA
rnacentral:rRNA from 1 species